GCAUCUGUGGCGAAAUGGCAGACGCGCUAGGUUCAGGACCUGGUUCCCGCAAGGGAGUGGGAGUUCGACUCUCUCCAGAUGCACCA
rnacentral:tRNA from 1 species